UCCCUGGUGGUUCAGUGGCUAAUACUCCAUGCUUCCAGUGCAGGGGGCCCAGGUUUGAUUCCUGGCCAGGGAG
rnacentral:tRNA from 1 species